CAUGGGCUGGGGGAGGGGGCUGCUUCCCCCCCCCGAGCUCAACUUUUCCCUGGUCUCCUUCCCUGUGCAGAGAAAAGCGGACCCUCCCCCACCCCAUAGCCGGAGCCCCCUGCUGCAGGUGAUUGCAGGCCAUGCAGGGCUGUCCAGAGCAGGCACAGGAUGCCCCAGGCAAACUGCAAGUGGUUGCAGUGUGGGGCACCAGGCAUGGGGUGGGCGAGAGGCUGCUUCCCUCCCACCCUGUCCCCCCCCCCGGCGUUCAGCAGCACCUUGUAACCCAGUCCCACUGCCAGGCUGGAUGUGAGGCCAAGUUACAAGCUGCUGCCGAGUGUGCGGAAGAGCGGUCCCUCGCUCACCAUGUGGCCGGUGCCCCGCACUGCAGCCAUUCACAGCCUGCCUGGGGCUGCCUGUGCCUGCUCAGGACAGCCCCACGUGGGCUGCGAGUGCCUGCAGCAGGGAGCGCCGACCAUGGAGUUGGGGCUGUGCACUGCCCCCCACCUGUACUGUGGGGUUGGGGGGCACUGGGUGUGAGUGGGCGGGGAGCCAGUGUGAGCACAGUGCCCACACUGGUGUCCUGGGGCCAGUGCUGGCAGGGCCUAAAGCAGGGUGGCAGGAGCGCAGGGUCCCAGCUGGCAGGGGCUCUGAAGCUGGGCCAGCUCCCCCCUCUCCCUGCUGAUGCACCCCAGUCCAGCUCCACGGACCUCUGCCAGCCUGCAUCCUGCUUUGGGCCCCACCAGUGCUGGCCCUGGGACAUUGUUUCCAAGAGGGUGACCAGGGAGCAGGGCACCUGUCAAGGGGUGGGGCUACCCAUGCAGCCCUCGACAGCCUGCCAAAACUGGUUAAGUGGCCCUCUGCCUGAAAUGAUUGCCCGCCCCUGCCCUAGCUCCUAAUUCUGUCCCUGCUCACCAAGCCUCUAGUGGCAAGCCUCUAGGCCCCUAUAGUCUGUUAAUGAAUUUCCACUUGUCAUAGCUUCAUUCUGUAGUUGGCAGAUGCUAAAUUCGGACCUUUUCUUCCAUCAUUUGUGAGCAAUUUUUAC
rnacentral:lncRNA from 1 species